GGACAGUGAUUAGAAGUGUACAAUACAUCAUUCUGAAGAGAAGUGUGUGGUGACUUCCUUUAACUGAGAACA
rnacentral:snoRNA from 1 species